UACGAAGGGGGCUAGCGUUGCUCGGAAUCACUGGGCGUAAAGCGCACGUAGGCGGCUUUUUAAGUCAGAGGUGAAAUCCUGGAGCUCAACUCCAGAACUGCCUUUGAUACUGGAGAGCUUGAGUCCGGGAGAGGUGAGUGGAACUGCGAGUGUAGAGGUGAAAUUCGUAGAUAUUCGCAAGAACACCAGUGGCGAAGGCGGCUCACUGGCCCGGUACUGACGCUGAGGUGCGAAAGCGUGGGGAGCAACAGGAG
rnacentral:rRNA from 1 species